GUGCUCGCUUCAGCAGCACAUAAACUAAAAUUGGAACGAUACUGAGAAGAUUAGCAUGGCCCCUGUGUAAGGACAACACACAAAUUCAAGAAGCAUUCCACUAAAAA